GCAGUUGUUACCUAAUGGGUAAGGAGAUUGAUUAUUGAUCAGAAGGUUGCUGGUUCAAUCCCCAGCUGAGAGUC